rnacentral:pre_miRNA from 1 species
AGCUUUUUGAAUCCGUGCAGAGAUUUCGUCAGGCUCCAACUCACUAGGGUCGAUCAGAAUUCCAAGAUAAGUGGAGUU